rnacentral:rRNA from 1 species
UACGGAGGGGGCAAGCGUUGUUCGGAAUUACUGGGCGUAAAGGGCUCGUAGGCGGCCAACUAAGUCAGACGUGAAAUCCCUCGGCUUAACCGGGGAACUGCGUCUGAUACUGGAUGGCUUGAGUUUGGGAGAGGGAUGCGGAAUUCCAGGUGUAGCGGUGAAAUGCGUAGAUAUCUGGAGGAACACCGGUGGCGAAGGCGGCAUCCUGGACCAACACUGACGCUGAAGCACGAAAGCGUGGGGAGCAAACAGGG